UUUACUUUGACACUUUAACAAAAAUAUAAAAAUUUCAAAAAUUUUGAACCAACCAUUUUUUCAGAAAAAUUACACUGGUUAUAUAGCAGUUUGAAAAACACCAAUUUUGAUCAUUGAGAAGCUUAAUAUUCCCUUUACAACACAAUGUAAUUAAGACGUUUAGCUGAUUUUAUAGAGUUAUCUCCCUGUAGUGUUAGGUACCACCUUAACUU
rnacentral:lncRNA from 1 species